AGGGUGUAAACGCUGCAGACUUGGUGUUGGGAACCCUUCGGGGGUGCUCAGUGCCGGAGAGAAGUUGCUAAGUCUGCUACUUGGGGAGUACGUCCGCAAGGAUGAAACUUAAAGGAAUUGGCGGGGGAGCACCGCAACGGGAGGAGCGUGCGGUUUAAUUGGAUUCAACACCAUAAAACUCACCAGGGAAGACUGUUACAUGAAGGCCGAGAUGAAGACUCUGCUAGAUUUUCAGAGAGGAGGUGCAUGGCGUCAGUGACU
rnacentral:rRNA from 1 species